UACAGAGGUCCCAAGCGUUGUUCGGAUUCACUGGGCGUAAAGGGUGCGUAGGCGGUCGGGUAAGUCUGGCGUGAAAUCUCACAGCUUAACUGUGAAACUGCAUUGGAUACUAUCCGGCUAGAGGAAUGGAGGGGAGACUGGAAUACUUGGUGUAGCAGUGAAAUGCGUAGAUAUCAAGUGGAACACCAGUGGCGAAGGCGAGUCUCUGGACAUUUCCUGACGCUGAGGCACGAAAGCCAGGGGAGCAAACGGG
rnacentral:rRNA from 1 species